ACUUACUACACUACAAGGUGUAAAUGUUUUGGGAUUUCCUUGGUUAUUAAAUGUGUUCUUGUACUGGGUUUAGGGUCUAUUCACAUUAUGUUAAGGAACGAAGUAGGCAGUGUAUCUUGUUGUCGUCACAGAAGUUGGGAUGAUGUAAUUUCCUGCCCAUUCUCUCUCCUCAGACAUGUCAGUGUGUUUGUGAUUUGUCACCUCAGUCAUCUCUCCACCACUCUACGUUCACAAUUACAUUUCAGUUAUUUAGCAGACGCUCUUAUCCAGAGCGAGUUACCGAGACAACAUGAUCACAGUUGUCGUCUCCCUCACCGUCUCCAUGUUCUUCCACACAGGUGUGAUACAGACAGUGGAGGUCAUCCAGUGGCCCAGUUCCAUCUGUAGCCAACCCAACACCUCCAUGGACAUGCACUGUUCUCAGGACGCAGGCUAUGACUACAUGUACUGGUACAGGCACCUCCAGGGAGAGGGCCCUAAACUAAUGGGCUCGCUCAUAGGUGAAUCGGCAAGCUAUGAGGCAGAGUUUAAAUCUGGCUUCAGAGUCUGGAGAACAGAAAACUCAGAGGGAUUGAGCUCAGUAAGGCAGUGGUCUCUGACAGUACAGAUGGUGCAGGGAAAGGACCAGGCAGUGUAUCUGUGUGCUGCCAGUCCACACGGUGAGCAGGGAUGCUCAACUCUGUUACAAUAUCACAUUUUGGGAGGCUGCCAAGGAGUCUCUCUCUGGCACCUGGCUGAUGUUGCCUGGCAGGGUGUCUCUCCAAUAGGGGGAGGUACAGCCCAGAUAUAAGAACAGUAAUCAAGAGGAUGUGAUGAUGAAUAAAACUCUCUCGCUCUCGCUCUCUCUCGCGCUCUCUC